ensembl:lncRNA
GACUGGGAUGACCAACACUGGUAGGCAGAGAGACUGGGAUGACCAACACUGGUAGGUAGAGAGACUGGGAUGACCAACACUGGUAGGCAGACAGACUGGGAUGACCAACACUGGUAGGUAGAGAGACUGGGAUGACCAACACUGGUAGGUAGAGAGACUGGGAUGACCAACACUGGUAGGCAGACAGACUGGGAUGACCAACACUGGUAGGCAGACAGACUGGGAUGACCAACACUGGUAGGUAGAGACAGACUGGGAUGACCAACACUGGUAGGCAGAGAGACUGGGAUGACCAACACUGGUAGGCAGAGAGACUGGGAUGACCAACACUGGUAGGUAGAGACAGACUGGGAUGACCAACACUGGUAGGUAGAGACAGACUGGGAUGACCAACACUGGUAGGUAGAGACAGACUGGGAUGACCAACACUGGUAGGCAGAGAGACUGGGAUGGCCAACACUGGUAGGUAGAGAGACUGGGAUGACCAACACUGGUAGGUAGAGAGACUGGGAUGACCAACACUGGUAGGUAGAGACAGACUGGGAUGACCAACACUGGUAGGUAGAGACAGACUGGGAUGACCAACAAUGGUAGGUAGAGACAGACUGGGAUGACCAACACUGGUAGGCAGACAGACUGGGAUGACCAACACUGGUAGGUAGAGACAGACUGGAUGACCAACACUGGUAGCUUGGCAUGUAAAGGCGAGGAAGAUGCCAAUGCCACUACAGUAUAUCUCCAUGGAAGUAUGAACCCCCAUAGCUAGCUACAGUUGGGCUCAAUUCCAUUUCAAUUCCAGUCAAUUCAGGAAGUAAAAG